AACGAACGCUGGCGGCGUGCCUAACACAUGCAAGUCGAGCGCGAGACCCCUUUCGGGGGGUGGAGAGCGGCAGACGGGUGAGUAACACGUGGGUAACCUGUCCUUGGGUGGGGGAUAACUACUCGAAAGGGUGGCUAAUACCGCAUAAGACCACGGCCUUGCGGGGCUGCGGUCAAAGGAGCAAUUCGCCUGAGGAGGGGCCCGCGGCCGAUUAGCUAGUUGGUGGGGUAAUGGCUCACCAAGGCAACGAUCGGUAGCUGGUCUGAGAGGAUGAUGAGCCACACUGGUACUGAGACCCGGACCAGACUCCUACGGGGGGCAGCAGUGGGGAAUAUUGCGCAAUGGGCGAAAGCCUGACGCAGCAACGCCGCGUGGGUGAUGAAGGCCUUCGGGUCGUAAAGCCCUGUCAGAUGGGACGAACCACCCCGCGAGGGGCCUGACGGUACCAUCGAAGGAAGCACCGGCUAACUCCGUGCCAGCCGCCGCCGUAACAC
rnacentral:rRNA from 1 species